GACGAACGCUGGCGGCGUGCUUAACACAUGCAAGUCGAACGGAAAGGCUCCAGCUUGCUGGAGUGCUCGAGUGGCGAACGGGUGAGUAACACGUGGGCAAUCUGCCCUGCACUCUGGGAUAAGCCUGGGAAACUGGGUCUAAUACCGGAUAGGACCUUUCUCCUCAUGGGGUUUGGUGGAAAGUUUUUCGGUUCAGGAUGAGACCGCGGCCUAUCAGCUUGUUGGUGGGGUAAUGGCCUACCAAGGCGUCGACGGGUAGCCGGCCUGAGAGGGUGAUCGGCCACAUUGGGACUGAGAUACGGCCCAGACUCCUACGGGAGGCAGCAGUGGGGAAUAUUGCACAAUGGGCGGAAGCCUGGUGCAGCGACGCCGCGUGAGGGAUGACGGCCUUCGGGUUGGAAACCCCUUUCAGUAGGGACGAAGCGCAAGUGACGGUACCUGCAGAAGAAGAACCGGCUAACUACGUG
rnacentral:rRNA from 1 species